rnacentral:rRNA from 1 species
UACGUAGGGGGCAAGCGUUGUCCGGAAUCAUUGGGCGUAAAGCGCGUGUAGGCGGCUAGGUAAGUCUGCUCUGAAAGCCCGGGGCUCAACCCCGGGAGGCGGGUGGAUACUGUCUAGCUCGAGUCCGGAAGAGGAGUGUGGAAUUCCUGGUGUAGCGGUGAAAUGCGCAGAUAUCAGGAGGAAUACCAAUGGCGAAGGCAGCACUCUGGGACGUGACUGACGCUGAGACGCGAAAGCGUGGGGAGCAAACAGG